UAAGUAGAUAGUGAAUGACGGGCUCAACCUCGUGUCCAUUAUCUAAACUGCUAAGCUAGAGCAUGAUAGAGGUAGCUGGAAUUCCCUGUGUGGGAGUGAAAUCCGUAGAUAUAGGGAGGAACACCGAUGGCGUAGGCAGGCUACUGGAUCAUUGCUGACGCUCAGGCACGAAAGCGUGGGAGCGACCGGAUUAGAUACCCGUUAGUCCACGCCGUAAACGAUGGAUGCUA
rnacentral:rRNA from 1 species